UCCUCACAAAAUGUAAACGAACAUGGAGUGAUGUCAGAUUUUAGUGGUUGUAGGAUUUAUUUUUUAUUUUUGGCAAAUGUGUCCAACAGUCUUCAACGAUGGACUUAGCAAGAGCGAAAGAUGAGGCGGAACCGUGGUGAAUAUUGUUUUUCACACAAGGCAGCUGAGACGGCUCCGUUAUAAGGCAGCAUUCACCGAGAAGGAGCGCAUCAACUUCAUAGCAGUGAUGUCCACCUUAUACAGACAUCAAGCGAGAGGGGAAUCACUCUGAGGAAAGAAAGAAGCAGCUAAUCAACAAAGAAGAUAGCGAAGCUGCAACGUUGGACUUUCGGAGACAUUUUCGCUCUGCUCUCUGUGAACCCGAACCGUUGAAACUGGAGGCCCCCCCCCCCCCCCCGCCACAUAGCUCACUGCAACAAUGUGGUGCAAAUUGCUAAGGAUAGACUUCAAUCCGGCUCUGAUUCGUGUGUGUGAGGGUCCGGGUCACGGCUCAGACGUUUGCCUCGGGUGCGAUAACUUACAGAGUCAGCGUGGCGGAAAGGUGGGUGAAAUAUGGAUACCACCCUAGCAGCGUUUCGACACAGCAGCCAGUCAAUUGACCUCAAAGGCCACUUAAAGAUUUGAGUGUGUAAUAUUUCAUCUGAUUGAAUUUACAUUAAAGCAGCCCUUUCCUGGCUAAUUCUUCAUUUAUUUGAAUUAAAUCACCAGAACGGGACUUAUGACUUUGUCUUUUACUCCAGCUGGAGCAAAUCUUGAGUAAUAACAUUGAGUACUCUUUGUUAUUGAUCAUUUUUCUUUUUUUAUUUCCACAAGGCAGAUUCAUAUAGAUGCUGGAGAAUACAAUAAAAUACCAUAAAGUUU